CAAUUUAAGUUAUAGCACAGUCUUUCCUGUACUGAAGAGGUACACAGUUCAGGAGCCAGUUUCUGGACCAGGCCUGCAGCCUGUCCAGAUCCCUUUGUAGUUUUGCCUGGUCCUUGUCCAAUUGAAUUAUUCUUAUCAACUUCACAUCAUCUGCAAACAGGGAUACUUCUGAGUCUAUUCCUUCCGUCGUGUCAUUCACAUAUACAUAUACCAGAAACAGCACUGGUCCUAGGACUGAACCCUAUGGAACCCCGCUUGCCACAGGCACCCACUCUGACACCUCAUCACGUACCAUGACUCACUGAUGUCUGCACGACAGGCAAUCCCUGAUCCAUUGCAGUGCCUUCCCUGUUAUACCUGCAUAGCCUCCAUCUUAUGUACUAAUCUCUUAUGUGGACCUGUGUCAAAGGCCUUCUUACAGUCCAAGAAAGUGCAAUCUACCCACCCCUCUUUGUCUUGUUUUCCUGCUGUCACCCUGUCAUAUAACUCCAGUUGGUUUGUGACACAGGAUUUCCCAUCCCUGAAACCAUGCUGGUUGUCACUGAUAAGCUCAUUUCUUUCUAGGUGCUCCACCACUCUUCUUCUGAUAAUCUUCUCCAUGACUUUGUAUAUUAUACAUGUCAGUGACACUGGUCUGUAGUUUAAUACUUCGUGUCUGUCUACUUUUUUUAAAGAUUGGGACUACAUUUGCUGUCUUCCAUAGCUCAGGUAGUUGCCCUGUUUCGAUACAUGUGUUGAAGAUUGUUGUUAGUGGCACACAUAGCACCUCUGCUCCCUCUCUCAGGACCCAUGGAGAGAUGUCAUCCACUAAUAUAAAUAUAUGGAUUAAUUAUAAUAAUAAUGUAAUACUACUAUCUUUAUUUCUACAAGUACAUGUACAAGGUAUACAGGCCUAGUUGACAUCAAUGACAUACUACUAUAUAGAAAGCUGCUUGUUAUGCUGAGCAUUUUGGGCAAAUUAGGUCAGUUUUGUCCCAGGAUGCAACCUACACAGUCCACUAGCACCCAGAUAUGAUUAUUAUUAAAGCUAAAAAUGUAUUAUGUAGCUUAACAUUCUUUUACGUAACCAAACCUAACCUAAUCAUCCCUAAUUAAAACUAAACUAACUUUACCAAAUCUAGUUUAUCGUAAUCUGACCUAACUCACCCUCUUGUACAUUUUAAUAAAUAUUUUAAUUAAAUGGACUUUUAAUGUUGAUUUGUUUGUAUUGGGAGAGAAAUUACCAAGAGUGAAAUUGAGUGAGGUUAAAAUGCACCGGGAGUCAAAAUAUGAGUCAAAAUAUCGGGAAUCAAAAUACCGGGAGUCAAAACACCUGGAGUCAGAAUACCAGGAGUCAAAAUAUCGGGAGUCAAAAUACCUGGAGUCAAAAUAUCAGGAGUCAAAAUACCGGGAAUCAAAACACUUGGACACUUGGAAUCAAAAUACAGUGGACCCUCGAGCUUCAGCGGCAUCGAUUUUCGUGAAAUCCGACUUUCGGCAAGUUUUUUAGGCAAAAUUUGGCCUCGCGGUUCAUGAUUAGACUUGUGAUUCGGCGACCGUCCAGUACCCGUCUGCCCAUCACCACGCACAUGAAGCCAGUCUCCCACGCCAUUCACGCUCAGUGUGCCAUUGUUUACCAACACGUGACCAUCACCCCGCGGGUUCAUACGUAAUAAUCCACUGUUUUUUGUGAUUGUAACUGCUAAAUAAGUCACCAUGGGCCCAAGGAAAGCUAGUGCAAGCCCUUUGGUAAAAAAAGUGAGGAACACGAUCGAAUUCAAGAAGGAAAUCAUUGAAAAAUAUGCCAGCUGUGGAAUCUAUUGUGGCAUUGGGGAUGUCCCUGGGGUUGGAGGUGAGUGGUGAGGAUGUGGAAGAGUUGGUGGAGGACCACAGGGAAGAGCUAACCACUAAAGAGCUGCAAGAGCUUCAUCUGCAACAGCAAGAGAUCACAGCUCAGGAAACUGCUGCAGAGGAGGAAGAGGAAGAGAGAUGGAGGAAGAGGAAGAGAGAUGGAGGAAGGUGCCUUCUUCAAAGAUUAAGGACAUUUGUGCAAAGUGGACUGAAGUGCAAACAUUUAUGGAUGAACUUCACCCUAACAAAGCUGUUGCAGGCCAUAUUGGCAACAUGUACAAUGACAGUGUUGUGUCCCACUUCAGACAAAUCUUAAAGAAACGCCAGAAACAGAGCUCUCUGGACAGAUAUUUUGUGCGACAAGGUUCCAGUGACUCUCAAGUUGUUCCCAGUGCCAGUGUCUUUAAAAAACAAAGAAGGGAAGUAACCCCAGAUAAGGACUUCAUACCUGAAGUCCUAAUGGAAGGAGAUUCUAGUUCCAAACAAUAGUGUACACCUUCCUCCUAUCCCCUCCUCCCAUCUUCCAUCCACCCAGAAGUCUUCAGUAAAGGUAAGUGUAAUGUUAUCUUUUAUAUGCAUGUACUUAAUUUCUCAUUGUUUUCAUGUAUGUAAAUCUUUAUUUAAUUUGAAAAAAAUAUUUUAUUUUAAUAUUUUUGGGUGUCUGGAACGGAUUAAUUUUAUUUCCAUUAUUUCUUAUGGGGAAAAUGGUUUUGCCGUUCGGCAAUUUCGACUUUCAGCAGGCUCUCUGGAACGGAUUAAUCACGAAACUCGGGAGUCCACUGUAUAGGGAGUCAAAAUACCAAGAGUCAUAAUACUGGGAGUCAAAAUAUCGGGAGUCAAUAAAUAAAAAAAAAUGGCACAAUACCUUGACUGGAACAAUACACAAAUUACCCGCAUAUAGGAGAGAGGAGCUUAUGACGAUGUUGUGGUCCAAGUUGGACUGAAAUGUCGUCGUAAGCUCCUCUCUCCUAUGUACGGAUUACAGUAUUUGUGUAUCGGGAGCCAGAAUACCAGGAGCCAAAAUAUAGGGAGCAAAAACACCGGGAGUCAAAAUACCAAGAGUCAUACCGGGAGUCAAAACAUCAAUAGUAAAAAUAUAGAGAAUCAAAAUAUUGGGAGUCAAAAUACCGGGAGUAAAAAUGCCGGGAGUCAAAAUACUGGAAGUCAAAAUAUUGGGAGUCAAAAUACCAAGAUUCAAAAUAUCAGGGGUCAAAAUACUGGGAGUCAAAAUACCGUGAGUUAAAAUACUGAGAAUCAGAAUUCCGGGACUCAAAAUACCGGUGACCAAGAGAGAGCUGUGAAACAUAAGGUCUUUCAACCAGUAUAAGAAACAGGCAAGAAAUCAACAUGCAAGUGUAAAAGAAAGACAAAGAACUUUUAAAAUUAAGUAGAAAAGAACAUGGCAUAAACAUCAUGGAGCCUCGGCUUAUGAGUGCCCCACCAUACGAAUUUUUCAGGAUACGAGUAGUUGCUCUGUCGAUUUUUUGUUUCUGGAUACAAGCAAAAAUUCAGGAUGCGAGCUUCCCGCUCCAACAAUUUUUUUUUUAGACUCCCAGAUCUUACAAAAAUAAAAAUGAAUAUAUAAUUGCAGUUCAUUGUUGUGAUGUAUUAUGUUGUUUUUACUGCUUAAGACUAUAACUGCAACAGAAAUAAUAGUAUUUCUUACCUUAAAUUGUGGGACCUGGUGUUUGUGGAUGAUUGUGGAAGAGAGUGGAGAGUUAUGCUGUGACCCUACUGGGCUGAGGUGAUGGUAGAGGUUCUGGUACUGAAGUCGAUGGUUGUACUGGAGUGUGCAUAAAUUCUGUAAUGGAUUUCUGUUCUAUUUUCCCCUGCAGUACAUUAUACAACUGACGGUAAAACAUCAGCUGCUCUAUACACCAUUUCAGGGUCCUCUUCAGUGAAAAAGGCAAGAACGACAAUUGUUGUUCUUGAAAGCAUGAUAUUCAGCGCAUUCCUCCUACACCCACUGAGCAUCUGGGUUCCCAUUCUGUAUUUCUGACCAAUCACAAGCCUUCCCUGAGUCGCUCCAGCUAAGUGGUGAUGGCUUCUGCUAGCUUCCCAUUGGUUGAGAGACCAAAAUGUAAACACUUCUAGCUUGGCGUCUCCGAGAGACGUUUUUUUCAUCGAGUGACACUCGUAUACCCUUGGAUUUUACCCUCUACAAUGUUGGUAAGUACUCAUUUGUGUUUCUAGUGUGUAAAUGAAAAUUUAGGCAUACAGUGGACCCCCGCUUUACGAUCAGCUCCCAAUGCGACCAAUUAUGUAAGUGUAUUUAUGUAAGUGCAUUUGUACGUGUAUGUUUGGGGGUCUGAAAUGGACUAAUCUAAUUCACAAUAUUCCUUAUGAGAACAAAUUCGUUCAGUACUGGCACCUGAACAUACUUCUGGAAUGAAAUAAUAUCGUAAACCGAGGGGCCACUGUAUUUUGAUAUAUAUAUGAAGUCUGUGUGAAGCAUAAUGUGAGUGCACCAUGCAAAGGAAAAAAGCGCAACAAAAAAAGACCAAAAAAUAUCGUUCUUGCCUAUUUUGGCCCAAUUUUAAUUUUCAGUAAAUAAAUAUUUAUAAAAAAAAAUUUUAAUGCAUAUAUCAAUUCUGUAGUGGCCUGGGUGUGUACAGAACGUUUUUAUUGUCCUUCCAGAUCAAUCAGAAAUUGUUUUAUGGUGAGUCCUCCAAAGACAAGUCCAAAUAUCUCUGCAUUUUGGAGGAAGGUGACUCUGAUGCAGAGGCAGAUGAUCUGGAAUUGCUUGACAGUGAUGAUGAGUACUUGCCACAGGAUGCAGAGGUGUCAACUGAUGAAGAGGAGGAAGCUAGACCAUCCAAAAAGCCAAAAUUAGACAAGAAAAAGAAAGGUAUUGUGAUCGAGGAGUACCCUGACGAAGAUCUUCAUGAUGAGCUUUCUUCUCAAACUCAGACCAACUGGAAUAGGGUUGACAUCCACAAUGACCCUUUGCCUGUUUACCUGGAGAGAGUUCUGGGGGUCAACGCCCCCGUGGCCCGGUCUGUGACCAGGCCUCUUGGUGGAUCAGAGCCUGAUCAACCAGGCUGUUGCUGCUGGCUGCACGCAAACCAAUGUACGAGCCACAGCCCGGCUGGUCAGGAACCGACUUUAGGUGCUUGUCCAGUGCCAGCUUGAAGACUGCCAGGGGUCUGUUGGUAAUCCCCCUUAUGUAUGCUGGGAGGCAGUUGAACAGUCUCGGGCCCCUGACACUUAUUGUAUGGUCUCUUAACGUGCUAGUGACACCCCUGCUUUUCAUUGGGGGGAUGUUGCAUUGUCUGCCAAGUCUUUUGCUUUCGUAGUGAGUGAACAUGAAAAACCUCUUGCAGUUAGGUGUGCAUAUGACUAUUUUAGCAAUUUUUUUACUCAAGACAUGAUAGACCAUAUCACAUUCCAAACUAAUUUGUAUGCCAGGCAAAAAACAUACACAGCACUUUUCAAACCAAUUCUGAAAAAAUCACGAGGUUCAUAGGUAUUCUGUUGUAUAUGGGUAUGAUUUCAAACCCAUGCAUUCAGGACUAUUGGGCAGCUGCAACUAAGGCAAUCCAGGUUUCAGAAGUCAUGGGAACUAAGAGGUUUUGUUACUUAGGCAUAUCAUUCAUUUCAAUGAUAACACACAACAGAAGAAUAAUGACAGAUUCCACAAAAUAAGGCCUCUUUACAUUGCACUAACUAAUGCUUGCUUGAAAGUUCCAGCUACACCCAAGCAAUCUAUUGAUGAAGUUAUGGUUGGUUUCAAAGGUAAAACCGCUGGAAACCUAAGGCAGUACAUCAAAACCAAACCAGACAAGUGGGGUUUUAAAACUAUUUUGUCAUGCAAGUGAAGAUGGAAUCAUACACGAUAUACCUAUGUAUGAAGGCAAAACAACUUUUGACAACCAUCCCAUAAAGCUGUCACAUGAAGAUAGUAAACUACCAAUAAGUUCGAAGAUUGUUCUGGUGCUUGCAACAACUCUCAACCAAAGAAAUACAUCAGCAAUCUAUGCUGACAAUUUCUUUUCAAGUCUUCCUUUGCUCAAGUUGCUAAGAGAAAAAUAUAACUGCAGAUACACUGGAACAGUACGUGAAAAUAGAUGAGGUAAGCCAGAACUGAUGCCUGUCAAACAAAUGGAGAAGAACAUAGUGCCCAGGGAGACUUUUGAUUACAAAACCAAUGAUGGUAUCCUUGUUGUAAGAUGGAAGGACAAUAAAGUUGUGACUUUAGUGACAAAUGAUGUGGGGGUUAAUCCUGUGACUCCUAUUGAAAGAUAUAACAAGGAUAAAAAGAUGAAAAACGAGUUCCAGUGCCCUGCAGUCAUCAAGAACUAUAAUGCACACAUGGGAGGUAUUGACAAAAGUAACAUGUUGGUGCAUCUGUACAAAACACCUAUGAAAUGAAAUCUAAACGUUGGUACAUGCGGCUGUUUGCCUAUGUUCUGGAUCUUGCUGUUGUGAAUGCAUGGCUUCUUUACUGUCGUGAUUGUCGGUCACUAAAUACCAAAUGCAUGCCACUGAGGCUAUUCAAGCUUGACAUCUCUAUCACUGCAAGAUCCGAAGGACAAACGUUGAGACGCAGCAUCAUAAGAACAAAUUCAAGAAGUUCAACAGCUUCAUCAAGUACUUCCAAUGGUGACAGUAAUGAUGAUUUGCCAUCCUUGCAAUUGCCAUCUACAAUGCAGUACCAAUGUGCAGAAAGGCCAGAUGACAGUGUGAGGUUUGACACAACCCUGUGUCAGGCAAGCUACUUACAUGCAAGUUUUGCAGCACACACAAACAGCAUGUCACAUCCUCAUUUUCCUGUGCCAUAUGCAAAGUAAAUCUAUGUAUCAAGUAGGAUAGAAAUUGCUUCAUAAAGUUUCAUUGUAAAAAUUAGUGAUCUAGAACGACUGUUCUUUCUCAGGAAACUCAGGAAUGUGGGUAUUGAAAGUUAUAUCCCUUUGCAAUGUGUCCAUGUUGCUACUUGGUUCAUUUUUGUAUUAUUUUAAUACUUACAAAAUGUUGGAAAACAAGUUCAAUUUAUGUUUUUGAUAUUGUCUUUUUGUCUAAUAAAAUUAAAAAAUAGUUA